rnacentral:rRNA from 1 species
CCCUACGGGACGCAGCAGCCGCGGUAAUACGUAGGGAGCAAGCGUUAUCCGGAUUUAUUGGGUGUAAAGGGUGCGUAGACGGGAAUGUAAGUUAGUUUUGAAAUCCCUCGGCUCAACUGAGGAAUUGGAACUAAAACUGCAUUUCUUGAGUGCAGGAGAGGAAAGUGGAAUUCCUAGUGUAGCGGUGAAAUGCGUAGAUAUUAGGAGGAACACCAGUGGCGAAGGCGACUUUCUGGACUGUAACUGACGUUGAGGCACGAAAGUGUGGGGAGCAAACAGGAUUAGAAACCCUUGUAGUCCAGAUC